rnacentral:rRNA from 1 species
AUGGAACAAUUUAGGCAAGGGAAGUCGGCAAAACGGAUCCGUAACUUCGGGAAAAGGAUUGGCUAUGAGGACUGGGCUCGGGGGUCCCGGCCCCGAACCCGUCGGCUGUCGGCGGAUUGCUCGAGCUGCUCAUGCGGCGAGAGCGGGUCGCCGCGUGCCGGCCGGGGGAUGGACUGGGAAUCGCCCCUUCGGGAGCUUUCCCCGAGCAUGAAACAGUCGACUCAGAACUGGUACGAACAAGGGGAAUCUGAUUGUUUAAUUAAAACAAAGCAUUGCGAUGGUCCUCGCGGAUGCUGA